GAUGAACGCUAGCUACAGGCUUAACACAUGCAAGUCGAGGGGCAGCAUGGUCUUAGCUUGCUAAGGCCGAUGGCGACCGGCGCACGGGUGAGUAACACGUAUCCAACCUGCCGUCUACUCUUGGACAGCCUUCUGAAAGGAAGAUUAAUACAAGAUGGCAUCAUGAGUCCGCAUGUUCACAUGAUUAAAGGUAUUCCGGUAGACGAUGGGGAUGCGUUCCAUUAGAUAGUAGGCGGGUAACGGCCACCUAGUCUUCGAUGGAUAGGGGUUCUGAGAGGAAGGUCCCCCACAUUGGAACUGAGACACGGUCCAAACUCCUACGGGAGGCAGCAGUGAGGAAUAUUGGUCAAUGGCGAGAGCCUGAACCAGCCAAGUAGCGUGAAGGAUGACUGCCCUAUGGGUUGUAAACUGCUUUUAUAAGGGAAUAAAGUGGGAGUCGUGACUCUUUUUGCUAUGUACCUUAUGAAUAA
rnacentral:rRNA from 1 species